rnacentral:rRNA from 1 species
GUUGAACGCUGGCGGCAUGCCUUACACAUGCAAGUCGAACGGCAGCACGGGUGCUUGCACCUGGUGGCGAGUGGCGAACGGGUGAGUAAUAUAUCGGAACGUACCUUAUUGUGGGGGAUAACGCAGCGAAAGCUGUGCUAAUACCGCAUAAUCCCUAGGGGGGAAAGCGGGGGACCGUAAGGCCUCGCGCAAUUAGAGCGGCCGAUACCUGAUUAGCUAGUUGGUGAGGUAAAGGCUCACCAAGGCAACGAUCAGUAGCUGGUCUGAGAGGACGAUCAGCCACACUGGGACUGAGACACGGCCCAGACUCCUACGGGAGGCAGCAGUGGGGAAUUUUGGACAAUGGGGGCAACCCUGAUCCAGCAAUGCCGCGUGGGUGAAGAAGGCCUUCGGGUUGUAAAGCUCUUUUGUCAGGGAAGAAACAGCAGCUCUAACACAGUUUGCGAAUGACGGUACCUGAAGAAUAAGCACCGGCUAACUACGUGCCAGCCGCCGCAGUAA